rnacentral:lncRNA from 1 species
UGUGCUUAUUUUCGGAUAAGGCACCUUGAGGAACUAAUAAAUUUGGUAAGUAAAUGUUCUGGAGAGAAAUAUUGUGGAACUACCUCACCCACCUCUCCUCUAAAACUUUACUUCGAUCAGGGCACCUUUCAUGUGCCAUCAGGGUUUAACUCUGUCAGUCAGUUUACUUUAUCCUAUGCUCUUUGCUACCUCCCUAUUAACCUGGUCUAUUUCCCUGUUUACGCAGCUCUGCACCCAGAGAUCGUAUCGAUGUGUGAUCCCGACGUAAUAACAUAAAACCCCCAUUUUCCUGACCUCUGCCCUAAGGUCAUUUACCCCAUCAAUGACACUCUGUCCCUCAUUUGAAAACACAUCCCCCCUUCCUGCCGCGAAGAUGAUAAUCCCUUGUUUGUUUGCAGAAGUGCCAUGAGAAUCAUUUUGUCUCUCAGAUUUUUCUGUUUGCUUUGGUAUUUUUAAAGGAGAUUGUUUUAAAAACAAUAUUUUUUUUUAAAAAAAAUUCCACUUGAUGGAUUACUGACAAAAUGUUUUAGAUACGAAUUUUCAAGAGACACACAUUGACACUGAAGAACGAAAUAAAUAACAAAAUAAAUAAACAAAAUGCAAAGGUAAAUAAAUAACAAGUAAAAAAUGACUAGAUAUUAAUGACUAGAGGAACACCCGAUGAACUGUUACAACUACCUCACGGCAGUUGGGGCACUGUACUAAAUUAUUUCCCCAAGCUGCUUGGUGGUGAGUGAGGAGUGCAUCAAAACAUUGAUGACAGGUUAUCAGGUGGCCACAAGGGCAGAUCAACGGCAGGGUUCGAUCAACGCAGAUGAUACACACUGAAACAAGUUCGUUUGCAGAAGUGCCAUGAGAAUCAUUUUGUUUGUCUGAUUUUUCUGUUUGCUUUGGUAUUUUUAAAGGAGAUGGUUUUAAAAACAUAUUUUUUUUAAAAAAAAUUCCAAUUGAUGGAUUACCGGCAAAAUGUUUUAGAUACGAAUUUACAAGAGGCACACAUUGACACUGAAGAAUGAAAUAAAUAACAAAAUAAUAAACAAAAUGCAGUGGUAAAUAAAUAACAAUUAAAGAAUGACUAGAUAUUAAUGACUAGAAGAACACCUGAUGAACUGUUACGACUACCUCACGGCAGUUGGGGCACUGUACUAAAUUAUUUCCCCAAGCUGCUUGGUGGUGAGUGAGGAGUGCAUCAAAACAUUGAUGACAGGUAAUCAGGUGGCCAGAAGGGGAAAAUCCCUUCUUCAUCAACGCAGAUGAUACACACUGAAACAAGUUCGUUUGCAGAAGUGCCAUGAGAAUCAUUUUAUUUGUCUGAUUUUUCUGUUUGCUUUGGUAUUUGUAAAGGAGAUGGUUUUAAUAACAAUAUUUUUUUUAAAAAAAAUUCCAAUUGAUGGAUUACUGGCAAAAUGUUUUAGAUACGAAUUUACAAGAGGCACAUAUUGACCUUUAAGAAUGAAAUAAAUAAACACAAUGCAGAGGUAAAUAAAUAACAAUUAAAGAAUGACUAGAUAUUAAUGACUAGAAGAACACCUGACGAACUGUUACGACUACCUCACGGCAGUUGGGGCACUGUACUAAAUUAUUUCCCCAAGCUGCUUGGUGGUGAGUGAGAAGUGCAUCAAAACAUUGAUGACAGGUAAUCAGGUGGCCAGAAGGGGAAAAUCCCUUCUUCUAUCAACGCAGAUGAUACACACUGAAACAAGUUUGUUUGCAGAAGUGCCAUGAUAAUCAUUUUAUCUCUUAGAUUUGUCUGCUUGCUUUGGUAUUUUUAAAGGAGAUGGUUUUAUAAACAAAUUUUUUUAAAAAAAAUUCCAUUUGAUGGAUUACCGGCAAAAUGUUUUAGAUACGAAUUUACAAGAGGAACACAUUGACCUUUAAGAAUGAAAUAAAUAAACAAAUGCAGAGGUAAAUAAUAACAAUUAAAGAAUGACUAGAUAUUAAUGACUAGAAGAACACCUGAUGAACUGUUACAACUACCUCACGGCAGUUGGGGCACUGUACUAAAUUAUUUCCCCAAGCUGCUUGGUGGUGAGUGAGGAGUGCAUCAAAACAUUGAUGACAGGUAAUCAGGUGGCCAGAAGGGGAAAAUCCCUUCUUCGAUCAACGCAGAUGAUACACACUGAAACAAGUUCGUUUGCAGAAGUGCCAUGAGAAUCAUUUUAUUUGUCUGAUUUUUCUGUUUGCUUUGGUAUUUGUAAAGGAGAUGGUUUUAAUAACAAUAUUUUUUUUAAAAAAAAUCCAAUUGAUGGAUUACCGGCAAUGUUUUAGAUACGAAUUUACAAGAGGCACACAUUGACACUGAAGAAUGAAUAAAUAACAAAAUAAUAAAGAAAUGCAGAGGUAAAUAAAUAACAAUUAAAGAAUGACUAGAUAUUAAUGACUAGAAGAACACCUGAUGAACUGUUACGACUACCUCACGGCAGUUGGGGCACUGUACUAAAUUAUUUCCCCAAGCUGCUUGGUGGUGAGUGAGAAGUGCAUCAAAACAUUGAUGACAGGUAAUCAGGUGGCCAGAAGGGGGAAAAUCCCUUCUUCGAUCAACGCAGAUGAUACACACUGAACAAGUUUGUUUGCAGAAGUGCCAUG